rnacentral:lncRNA from 1 species
UGAGGAAAUAAUUCAUGAGAAGUUCCUUCUCAUGAAUUCAAAUGGGUGCAAUGGAAGUGAGGUGGCGCAUGGAGAUUGGGUCAAGGUGGUUUAAUUAUUUAAACCAACCUAAUUGAACCAAAUAAUUUAGGUCCAAUUAGACUAAUUUAAACCCAACUUAAUUAGGCUUAAUUAGGCUCAAUAAAAUCCUAAUCAAAUCAAGAAUUGACUAAGCUCAACCCCUGAUCAAAUCAGAGACCAAACCAUCUCGACGAUUAGGUCAACUCUUAACCUAAUCGGGUCAAACCCAACUGAAUCCAAUUCAAUUGGACUUGAUCCAAAAAUAAUUACUCAAUCAAAUUGAGUUAAUUAGCAAUCAAAUCACUAAUUAAAUCUCUCAUAAAUAUUGAAUCU